GGGCUGUCUCCGCCGAGUCCGGCCCCGCCGCGAGGCAGCCGGAGCCGGGGACCCAGAGGUACCACUGGGGUGAAUCGGCCCACGUGGCGACGUCAGCCGUCCGCCGCACGGACCGUAGGGCAGCCUUCCGUACGCCCGAACCCGACAGCUAACCCGGUAGGCGGUCCACGGAAGGAGUC
rnacentral:sRNA from 2 species